CCUACGGGAGGCAGCAGUGGGGAAUAUUGCGCAAUGGGCGAAAGCCUGACGCAGCGAAGCCGCGUGAGGGAUGAAGGUCUUCGGAUCGUAAACCUCUGUCAGCAGGGAAGAAAGGUCACUGUGCUAAUCAGCAGUGAAUUGACGGUACCUGCAAAGGAAGCACCGGCUAACUCCGUGACAGCAGCCGCGGUAAUACGGAGGGUGCGAGCGUUAAUCGGAAUUACUGGGCGUAAAGCGCUCGUAGGCGGUAUGUCAAGUCAAGGGUGAAAUCCCCGCGCUCAACGUGGGAACUGCCUGUGAAACUGGCAAACUGGAGUGUGUGAGAGGAUGGUGGAAUUCCAGGUGUAGGAGUGAAAUCCGUAGAUAUCUGGAGGAACAUCAGUGGCGAAGGCGACUAUCUGGCACAUGACUGACGCUGAGGAGCGAAAGCGUGGGUAGCAAACAGGAUUAGAUACCCUAGUAGUC
rnacentral:rRNA from 1 species